rnacentral:rRNA from 1 species
AACGAACGCUGGCGGCGUGGAUAAGACAUGCAAGUCGAACGGGAUUACUUUGUAGCAAUACAGAAGUAAUUCAGUGGCGAACGGGUGCGUAACACGUGGGCAAUCUGCCGAAAAGUGGGGGAGUACGCUCGCCGAAAGGCGAAUUAAUACCGCAUGUGGUGAGGACGACAUCGUCCUGAAUCCAAAGCCGGGGCGAACCUGGCGCUUUUGAGGAGCCCGCGGCCUAUCAGCUAGNGGUCGGGUAACGGCCCACCAAGGCUAUGACGGGUAGCUGGUCUGAGAGGACGACCAGUCACACUGG